GACGAACGCUGGCGGCGUGCUUAACACAUGCAAGUCGAACGGAAAGGCCCUGCUUUUGUGGGGUGCUCGAGUGGCGAACGGGUGAGUAACACGUGAGUAACCUGCCCUUGACUUUGGGAUAACUUCAGGAAACUGGGGCUAAUACCGGAUAGGAGCUCCUGCUGCAUGGUGGGGGUUGGAAAGUUUCGGCGGUUGGGGAUGGACUCGCGGCUUAUCAGCUUGUUGGUGGGGUAGUGGCUUACCAAGGCUUUGACGGGUAGCCGGCCUGAGAGGGUGACCGGCCACAUUGGGACUGAGAUACGGCCCAGACUCCUACGGGAGGCAGCAGUGGGGAAUAUUGCACAAUGGGCGGAGGCCUGAUGCAGCAACGCCGCGUGCGGGAUGACGGCCUUCGGGUUGUAAACCGCUUUCGCCUGUGACGAAGCGUGAGUGACGGUAAUGGGUAAAGAAGCACCGGCUAACUACGUGCCAGCAGCCGCGGUGAUACGUAGGGUGCGAGCGUUGUCCGGAUUUAUUGGGCGUAAAGGGCUCGUAGGUGGUUGAUCGCGUCGGAAGUGUAAUCUUGGGGCUUAACCCUGAGCGUGCUUUCGAUACGGGUUGACUUGAGGAAGGUAGGGGAGAAUGGAAUUCCUGGUGGAGCGGUGGAAUGCGCAGAUAUCAGGAGGAACACCAGUGGCGAAGGCGGUUCUCUGGGCCUUUCCUGACGCUGAGGAGCGAAAGCGUGGGGAGCGAACAGGCUUAGAUACCCUGGUAGUCCACGCUGUAAACGGUGGGUACUAGGUGUGGGGUCCAUUCCACGGGUUCCGUGCCGUAGCUAACGCUUUAAGUACCCCGCCUGGGGAGUACGGCCGCAAGGCUAAAACUCAAAGGAAUUGACGGGGCCCCGCACAAGCGGCGGAGCAUGCGGAUUAAUUCGAUGCAACGCGUAGAACCUUACCUGGGUUUGACAUGGAUCGGGAGUGCUCAGAGAUGGGUGUGCCUCUUUUGGGGUCGGUUCACAGGUGGUGCAUGGCUGUCGUCAGCUCGUGUCGUGAGAUGUUGGGUUAAGUCCCGCAACGAGCGCAACCCUUGUUCACUGUUGCCAGCACGUUAUGGUGGGGACUCAGUGGAGACCGCCGGGGUCAACUCGGAGGAAGGUGGGGAUGACGUCAAGUCAUCAUGCCCCUUAUGUCCAGGGCUUCACGCAUGCUACAAUGGCUGGUACAGAGAGUGGCGAGCCUGUGAGGGUGAGCGAAUCUCGGAAAGCCGGUCUCAGUUCGGAUUGGGGUCUGCAACUCGACCUCAUGAAGUCGGAGUCGCUAGUAAUCGCAGAUCAGCAACGCUGCGGUGAAUACGUUCCCGGG
rnacentral:rRNA from 1 species